AUGGUUCGAGAGGAGGUAGCAGGAUCCACUCAAACACUACAGUGGAAGUGUGUUGAAUCAAGAGUAGAUAGUAAGCGCCUUUAUUAUGGUCGUUUCAUUCUGUCCCCGCUUAGAAAAGGUCAAGCGGACACCGUCGGUAUUGCCUUGCGAAGAGCUUUACUUGGAGAAAUAGAAGGAACAUGUAUCACACGUGCAAAAUUUGGGAGCGUGCCGCACGAGUAUUCUACAAUAGCAGGUAUUGAAGAAUCCGUACAAGAAAUUUUACUAAAUUUGAAAGAAAUUGUAUUGAGAAGUAAUCUCUAUGGAGUUAGAGACGCAUCCAUUUGCGUCAAAGGUCCUAGAUACACACAAAGUCAGGAGUUCAAAUAA
rnacentral:rRNA from 1 species